AGGCAAAGCUGGGCUAGGUCUUGGAGGCUGUGUAAGGCGGUGCGGUAAGGCUGAUGGAAGAGACUGAUCGAAGAAAAGCUGAAAUGGAUUCUCCGUGCCUUGGAUGGAGGAAGAGGGGGAAGUAGGGAGCUCCUUCAACUCGUUCUGUCCGGUGAGGAGUGAUGCAGCUUGGGCUGACAAGAGGCUCCGGGAACCCUCACGUUCAGGGCUUUUUUACCUGCCAAUCAAAGUGCUACAAGACAACACCCUGAUCUGGCAUGGACGC
rnacentral:lncRNA from 1 species